UGCCAGCCGCCGCGGUAAUACGGAGGGGGUUAGCGUUGUUCGGAAUUACUGGGCGUAAAGCGCACGUAGGCGGAUUGGAAAGUUGGGGGUGAAAUCCCGGGGCUCAACCCCGGAACUGCCUCCAAAACUAUCAGUCUUGAGUUCGAGAGAGGAGAGCGGAACUCCGAGUGUAGAGGUGAAAUUCGUAGAUAUUAGGAAGAACACCAGUGGCGAAGGCGGCUCACUGGCUCGGUACUGACGCUGAGGUGCGAAAGCGUGGGGAGCAAACAGGAUUAGAUA
rnacentral:rRNA from 1 species